ensembl:lncRNA
UCCUGAUUUUGAACUCUUGUAGUCCUGUUUUAAUUCCGGAUCAGUUCUGGGUCUGGUUGAAUUGGGGUUUAGUCCUCGUGUCUUGAUGCAGCCCUGACCUUGUUCUGCCUUGCUGCUUAAUUAAAAAACUAGUUUAAGGUGUCCUGCAUAUGUGAUAUCUUUUUUUCCCAAUAUGAAGUCAUUCUUUUUUGAACAAAACUCAAAACAGAGCCAAUUAAUCUUUCAGUCAUUUCUACACCCCCCCCCCCCCCCCCCCCCCAAAAAAAGAAAAAAGAAAAAAAAAUCCACAUGCAUACUACCCUUCAGGGCUAAGCCCCGGGUGUUUCAAAUGUCUGGCUCCGCCUCUGAUGUAGAGUCCCCCUCCUCUGUUCGGUUUCACUUCCCGUAAACAGAAAGUAAACUUUGUGCGUGGGCGUGUUUGGAGCUGCAGGUGUGUCCAGGUGUGGGUUCGUUGGAUCAGCAGAGGAUUUAACGGGACUUUGUGUCGGUUUGAGUUGUUUUUAAAGGAGGAUGAAGACGCUGGUGGUGUUCCUGCUCCUCGUGAACGUUUCCCAGCAUGCCCUGGGUGUGGUGGUGGAGGUGAAUGAGGGGGAAAGAUCUGUCCUGCUGCCCUGUCAGUACUUUGGGUUUAUACCUGAGAAUCCCACAGUGAUGUGGACUCGCAGUGAUCUCCAUCCCAAAUCUGUCCAUGUGAGACAAGACGAAACAGACGAUCUCAGAGGACAAAACCAGCGUUACAGUGGGCGCACAUCAAUGAGACCUGAUGCUCUGGACGCUGGAGACUUCAGCCUCACUCUGACAAAACCAACAAAGACUGACAGCAGCAUCUACACCUGCUCCAUCAGUGAUGGGAGAGAAGAACGGAGACUGAGAGAUAUCCAGCUGCAGGUCAAAGCCUUGCCUACUUUACAGUUCUUGGAACCCAUCAACACCAGUGUUCACUUGAUAGACAUAUCACCACACAUUGACGGGCUGAAAAAUGCGAUGGAAGAGUACAAGAGUACGAUAAAAGAGCUCAGUGGCUGUUCAAAAGCUACUGUCGCCGUGGGAGGGCUUAUUGCGACGUUGAUUGUGAUCGUUCUAGGGUUUAUGUAUAUAUGAUCGCCACUUGGCUUGUAUGUGUUUAUGUCAAGUGUGGAAAUAAAAGAAAAUAUAUCAUUGCUUACAUGGCUUUUAUUAGUGCCACUUUAUUAAAACUUUUAUUAAAUGUGGAGUUGUAAUUAUUUUUAUACAUAAAUUUAAAAUGCGCUCAUAAAGAGUUGGCGCUCAGUCCUCUUAAGGUCCUAAGCUUCGUCUGGUGUGAAUGUCCAGACGAUAUAUUGUGUAAGGUGACUUAGAGCGCAAGAAGGCCAAUGCAAGCACGCUUACAGACACAAAUAAGUUCUAGGUCAGAAGUGAGAGAUACAUUUAGCUUGUAACUGCAUUUGUGCUUGCAUAGCAACUGUUGAUGCAGGACGUGUUAAAGAUAAGCAUGAAAAGAACAAGUCAACGAGAAACAUCUGGAGGGUGAGACGGUUGAAACAAACAGCCAUGUAUGGUAAAAAGGUUGCAGAUAAUGGAAACUUGUCUAACUGUCAUUAACUGUAACUGAUGCAUAUUAUCUGCUUUGCUGACGCAAGAAGGGGCUAAACCCUGACAUAUCAAAACCAUUUUGAAGCUUUUUAGCGGAGAUCUACGCUGAUGAUGCUCCCCAUGCGUGUGUUCAAUAAAAUCAUUGUUUGACUGAACUCAUCUGGACCAGUGUCAAUGGAAAAUUGUACUUCGUAGUCAGUAUAAUCUUUUAAUGAUAUAAGUUUGCAUAUAGUAGAAUACUGCAUGUAAUCAUUUGUGUUUAGAAGUAUAUAGCUGGUGGCAUAUUGAAAGAAUGUCUCAUCCUAGGAGGUCUGUAACAUUCCAGGGUGUUCUGGCAUUCACCCCCACAUCCUACGAGCAUGGGAGAGGUCGUACCUUGUCUUAUUGUUUUACGGUAGGAUUAACGUAGCUAUGUCAGUUUUAGUCUAAGUGCCUUUUUACAUAUAGAUGAACUGUUGGACUUUCCAGACCAGCAGGUUAAGGGAAGUCAUUUAUGGGGUCACACUCUGACACACACACACACACACACACACACACACACACACACACACACACACACACACACACACACACACACACCAAUGUAAGGAACAAACGCUCACUGGAGUUUAUAAAUAAAGACCAGGGCAGUCCUCAGUGCGAGUCUCAGUUCUGGAGGCUGCCCUUGCUAGCAAGAAAUUCUGUGUUUCUCUUCUCUGAUUCUCUACUGAAGAAGUAUUUUAGAAUAUAUCUCUUAACAACCAGUUUUUGUUUGUUUUCAUCCUCAAUAUAAAAGAAUCGGGACACAAGGCACACCUUACCGUUUUUUGUUGUGUGUGUCUUGCAUUGUCUGUACGUAUUACUAUUUACUCCUGUGCAUGUCCCUACCUGUAUAACAUAUAAGCUGUGUCAAUAAAAGAAGUCAACCACAUGA